UUCAUAAAUAAAAUGUCAGUCAAGAUGCAGUACAAGGAAAGAUUGGGAAGAUUUAUAUUCCUGAUCAGAAGCUUGGAGAAAUGGUAUUGCCUAACAAGGCCAAAGGAGUGAAGAGAGAACGGAGAGAGGCCAAGAAGAAGCAGAGGGAAGACGGGCCUGCUUCGAAAAAGCAAAAAGACUCGGAGUAACUUACCAAACACCAUCCCGAGCCAGUUUCAAUCUGGGUGUUCUUUCCAGUUGGACAUGGAGGAGGAGGAAGAUGAUGUAAUAUUAAUAUUUGGGGGAGGGUUUUGGAUUCACAUUUUUAUUUGGGAUGAUGGUUUAAUAUAAUGUUCUCACUCUUGAGGUGAUUUGAUUUUUGUUUAGAGUUUUUGCAGCAUGAAGUAUACAACAAAUGCUUAGAUCAGUCAAACAUUGUCUACUUGUUGGAAAUCUCUUCUUUGGAACUCUCCUUGAGUCCAAUUUUUUUAAUUUUAUUUAUAUUUGUUGGUU